GGGGGUGUAGCUCAGUUGGUUAGAGCGCCGGCCUGUCACGCCGGAGGUCGCGGGUUCGAGUCCCGUCACUCCCG
rfam:Alphaproteobacteria bacterium 43-37 SCNpilot_expt_1000_bf_scaffold_2585, whole genome shotgun sequence.